UACGAAGGGUGCAAACGUUGCUCGGAAUUAUUGGGCGUAAAGCGCGCGUAGGCGGCCGCUUAAGUCGGAUGUGAAAGCCCCUGGCUCAACUGGGGAAGUGCACCCGAAACUGAGUGGCUUGAGUACUAAAGAGGGUCGCGGAAUUCCCGGUGUAGAGGUGAAAUUCGUAGAUAUCGGGAGGAACACCGGUGGCGAAGGCGGCGACCUGGGUAGAUACUGACGCUGAGGCGCGAAAGCGUGGGGAGCAAACAGG
rnacentral:rRNA from 1 species